UACGAAGGGGGCUAGCGUUGCUCGGAAUCACUGGGCGUAAAGCGCACGUAGGCGGACUCUUAAGUCGGUGGUGAAAUCCUGGAGCUCAACUCCAGAACUGCCUUCGAUACUGGGAGUCUUGAGUUCGGGAGAGGUGAGUGGAACUGCGAGUGUAGAGGUGAAAUUCGUAGAUAUUCGCAAGAACACCAGUGGCGAAGGCGGCUCACUGGCCCGAUACUGACGCUGAGGAGCGAAAGCGUGGGGAGCGAACAGG
rnacentral:rRNA from 1 species